rnacentral:pre_miRNA from 1 species
UCUUAUGGAUGGGCAAAGAAAGUGGUUUCUUGAGGUAGAGUCUACUUCUGGUGAGGAUAUUGUGAA